CCAGCGGCGCUGCCCAUCCCCCCCCCCCCCCCCCGUGCGGCGAGCGAUGGAGGGGGUGGUGCUGCUGACCCACAUCGUGCCGGGGGGGGUCGGGCCUGGGGCCCCCCGGUAAGAGCGGCCGGCGCUUGUGGGGGGAGCCCCUGGCCCUGGGAGUGACGCAGGUGCUGCUGGGGGCGCUGCAGGUGGCCCUGGGUGGGACCCUCCUGGUGGCCCUGAGGGACCCGCUGGGGGCCCAUCUGGGGGUCCCCCUGGGCACCGGCACCCUGAUGAUGGUGUCAGGGGUGGUGCUGGUGGCGAUGGCGCAGAGACCCUCAGUGAAGCUGGCACGGGCAGGGCUGGCGCUAGGGGUGCUGGGUGCCAUCUUCUCCUUCCUGGAGCUGGUGCUGCAGGGGGUGCUCCUGCCCUAUGGGCUGCCCCACAUGCCACCGCGUGGGACCCCCCAUGCAGGGCGUGGUGUUGGGGGCGCAGCUAGUGCUGAUGACGUCGGCGGCGGCGGGGGGCGGCGCUAACGGUGACGGGAGCGGUGGCAGCAGCCCGGGGGGGCGGGGCGGGGCCGGCCGCCUGUGGUGGUCUACCAGACGGCGCUGCCCAGCGCGGGGGGCGGGGCUAAGCGAGGCCCCACUCCCCACCCCCGCCCCUCAAUAAAGACCAAAGACCGGGA